ACGGGUGAGUAAUGCCUAGGAAUCUGCCUGGUAGUGGGGGAUAACGUCCGGAAACGGACGCUAAUACCGCAUACGUCCUACGGGAGAAAGCAGGGGACCUUCGGGCCUUGCGCUAUCAGAUGAGCCUAGGUCGGAUUAGCUAGUUGGUGAGGUAAUGGCUCACCAAGGCGACGAUCCGUAACUGGUCUGAGAGGAUGAUCAGUCACACUGGAACUGAGACACGGUCCAGACUCCUACGGGAGGCAGCAGUGGGGAAUAUUGGACAAUGGGCGAAAGCCUGAUCCAGCCAUGCCGCGUGUGUGAAGAAGGUCUUCGGAUUGUAAAGCACUUUAAGUUGGGAGGAAGGGUUGUAGAUUAAUACUCUGCAAUUUUGACGUUACCGACAGAAUAAGCACCGGCUAACUCUGUGCCAGCAGCCGCGGUAAUACAGAGGGUGCAAGCGUUAAUCGGAAUUACUGGGCGUAAAGCGCGCGUAGGUGGUUUGUUAAGUUGGAUGUGAAAGCCCCGGGCUCAACCUGGGAACUGCAUUCAAAACUGACAAGCUAGAGUAUGGUAGAGGGUGGUGGAAUUUCCUGUGUAGCGGUG
rnacentral:rRNA from 1 species